rnacentral:lncRNA from 1 species
AUAGAAUCAAAAUCUAGUAACUAUUAGUGAUCUCCAUUCCCUUUUAAAGAACAUAAAAUUUAUUAUUAUUCAAUUAUUUUCGUUAUAAUGGAGUACUCUAUAAAUAGGUUGAAGAAAUAAAAGAAGAAAGAUUUAUGUCGGCAGCAGCAUUCGAACCCACACCGAACCACGCUAGCAACGCUCGUAUCCACAAGGCUAUGACGGCUUGUUUAGUACGGUGGUUCCAAGCUGUGGUUGGGCAUUCGCCUGAGGCUUUGACCCGCAGUGUCUCGAAGAUGGUUGGCCGUCUGCUGGCGAAGGGGGGUAUCACUGUGUUCAGGAGGACAUGCUCUACAACCCUAUUGGGUUUCAUCAGAAUCGGUGGAUUCCACUUGAGGA